rnacentral:rRNA from 1 species
UUCCUACGGGACGCAGCAGUGGGGGAUAUUGCACAAUGGGGGAAACCCUGAUGCAGCGACGCCGCGUGGGCGAAGAAGUAUUUCGGUAUGUAAAGCCCUAUCAGCAGGGAAGAAGAAAUGACGGUACCUGAGUAAGAAGCACCGGCUAAAUACGUGCCAGCAGCCGCGGUAAUACGUAGGUGGCAAGCGUUGUCCGGAUUUACUGGGUGUAAAGGGCGUGCAGCCGGGCCGACAAGUCAGAUGUGAAAUCCGCGGGCUUAACCCGCGAACUGCAUUUGAAACUAUUGGUCUUGAGUACCGGAGAG